GAAGUAAAAGUCGUAACAAGGUUUCCGUAGGUGAACCUGCGGAAGGAUCAUUAUUGAAUAAACUUGGUUGGGUUGCUGCUGGCUUUUCGGAGCAUGUGCACGCCUACCGCCAUUUUUACCACCUGUGCACUCUUUGUAGAUCUGGAAUAUCUCUCGAGGAAACUCGGUUUGAGGGAUGCUGCGCGCAAGCCAGCUUCUCUUGCAUUCUAGGUCUAUGUUUUAUAUACCCCAUAACUAUAUUUUAGAAUGUCAUUAAUGGGCCUUGUGCCUUUAAAUUAAUACAACUUUCAACAACGGAUCUCUUGGCUCUCGCAUCGAUGAAGAACGCAGCGAAAUGCGAUAAGUAAUGUGAAUUGCAGAAUUCAGUGAAUCAUCGAAUCUUUGAACGCACCUUGCGCUCCUUGGUAUUCCGAGGAGCAUGCCUGUUUGAGUGUCAUUAAAUUCUCAACCUUUUCAGCUUUUGCGAGUUGAAUUUGGCUUGGAUGUGGGGGCUGCGGGCUUCUCAGAAGUCGGCUCCUCUUAAAUGCAUUAGCGGAACCUUUGUGGACCAGCUUUGGUGUGAUAAUUAUCUACGCUAUUGCUGYGAAGCAGCUUUACAUGGGGUUCAGCUUCUAACUGUCCAUUAACUUGGACAAUUUUUGACAUUUUGACCUCAAAUCAGGUAGGACUACCCGCUGAACUUAAGC
rnacentral:rRNA from 1 species